UUGAUAUCUGAGUCCAUUCAUAGCUGAACCUCAGUCAUAAUAUUAAGAUCCUGCUGAGUCUGUCAUUGAUUUCCUGCAGGCCUGACACUCACUGCUGCAAACCCAGAGGAUGUAAACUGGAAAAAUAUACAUUUAUGUUAUAAAAAGAUCAAUUAACUCAGGGUUAUGUCUGCAUACACGGCCGCCCUCCACACACACACAUCCUGACACAAAAUCAAACACAUCUGCUAAACAUCGCAGUAAUUGCAGCUCCAUCGAUAUCAUAUUACCUGCUCCUUUCGCUGCCUAUUGAUCCUGACGGCUGUGGCUGUUCAUGUGCUGCAUUCAAUGCACUCUAUUAGCUGUUCCAAGUGUUGGGACUGACGAUGCAUCACAGCUGAGCUGAAGGGUGGAGGAGAGCAGCGCCCAUCCAUCUCUGGCAACGGCAAGUGGCUCCGUCUCAGACGGACACGUUCUGGAGCCUGAGCCGCUCUGCAGGACGCUCACUGACAGAAAAACAACCAGCUAACCAACUAACUAACUAACUGACUGAACUCGGUGUGAAGCAGCAUUUAUGAAAAGCAAAGAAAGAUGAAAAAUGUGCUGAAUAUGUUUUAUUUUUGCUGUCUCGUCUCCCUUCGUCUUUUUGUCUCUUCAGGGUUCUUUGUGUUUCUGCGUCUCUGCAGAAUCUAAUGCCUGAACAUCCGCGGCUGAAGUGGCUCCGUUUCCUCCUGAGUGCGACUUGCUUCUUAUUCACCAUUAACCUUUGACCUCUGAGGAAAGCGCUGGGUUAUUACACGAAGAGACUCUCAGGCCCUGCAGGCAAAUCUGAUUUUGUUCUCCUCUCUGCUUCUAAAGCAGGAAUUAAGCGAAGUCCGGCUCUCAGGGAACAGGUGUUAUGCAGAGAAACGCAGCCUGUCGCCGGAGCGCACAUCGCUCGAAACUCAUAUUGAUGAGAAAACGGACUGAAAUAUGACCGAAGAGAAAACUUUGAAAAAAGAUAUUUAUAACAUUAUCAUGUUUCCUAACCAUGUGAGCCCUGAACCGGUGGGUUUUAUGUUGCAGAUGAAUUGAAAUAAAUACGGUUUUGACUCCUUUAAUGAGACACACGAGUCAAAGUUUUACAGUCACUGUCUGAUGAACAUGUUCUCUGCUCACGUUUUGUAAUUCACCGCUUUUUCUUUUAACACCAUAAUAGCUUCAAACAUGAGAAAACAUUAUGUAGAACAUUUAAUACAUAAUAAUAUCAUAAUAAUACUGUCCAGUCUAUUAAUGUAGGGGGGAUGCAUUUUAAUUUCUGAGCCUGCUAAUAUCUGCAUCCUCUGUCUAUUGUCCUGUUGAUAUGAAACUUAUAUCCUGAGCCCAGAGUCUGUUUUCUCAUCAAUAUGCGAGUUUGGAGCAAUGUGCGCUCCUGCUACAGGCCAUGCGUUUCCCUGCAGAACAUCUUCAAUAAACUGUCUGCUGACUCCAUCCUCACGACUUCUGCAGAAACUUCUGCUCUACAAAAACCACCCAGAUGAAUAUAGAGGAAGUGGAGCUGUCCGUGGAGGCCGUCCCUGAAAGGUGAUGGGUUCCCUGCAGACGUUCCCCAGCUCCUCUGUGGCUGUGAGAAAAGCCCGGUGACCCAGCAGCCCAGAGAGACUCUGAGUCCAGGCCUCUGCUGCGUGGGACGGAGCCCAGUUUAGAUUUUAGAGCAAAGAGGAAUGAGGCCUGAUGGGAGCCGUUUGGAAGGUCACAUAGUUUCACAGCACAAAUCUGAGUUGUUCAUCAAGUUAUUCGUUUAUAAAUGUCACAGUUUCAAACCAAAUAUUUAGAUAAAAUGCUAAUUCACUGGCUUGAAAUAUUUCCGUUUGGUUUCCAUGGUGGAUCCACUGCUUCCUGUGAAAAUAUUCACCAAAUAAAAACGCAUCAAAUCGUUUUUCUAAAAUCGUUAAAAUCAUAUUUUACGUGAACCUUAACGUGACUCAAACUGAACGGUACCAGAGUUCACCGUUCUUUCCCCCACCGGACCAGCUGUUAGCUUCAGCCUCCAGAACCAGGUAAUCUGGGUUUACACCAACGGUGUCCAAACUGUGGUUCUGGGGCCGUUUGUGUCCCUAGAAACAAUUUUAUUCGGCUCCUAAUCUUAAGUCAAGAAUGGUACAAAUUUGGCCAACAAAACAACUGAUGAGCCCAAAAUAUGGAAACUGUCAGUUUGUCUUGUAAUGAGGCAAAAACCUGAACCUUUUAUGUUUCUGGGUCAGAUUUUGUAAUCUGGACUACUUGUCUUUAUUAUCAGAACUGUGCGGUUCCUGAAUAAUUGAAGCAUUAAUUACUCAUUUCAUAAACUUAAUGUCCACUUUAAGGGUCAAAGGUCAUCUGCAGAUGCCUAAUUUAGGGUCACCCUGAUUAACUGUAAAUGAUCCCCUCUAUGGUGGCCCUGAGGUGCAAAGCACAACAACAUUAACGAAGCACAACACAAUGGAAACCCUAACCCUUAUCAGUAAUUAUACACUGAAUUAAAUUCUGAUAUUUCAAAUCUGUUUUCCAAGGAUUUUUUUUCUUUCCUGAAUAAUUUCUUCACAGCAAAAAUGGAAAGAUUCUUGGAUCAAAAGCAGAGCAGAAACUUCACCCAGCUGGAUCUGGAGAACAUAUGUUUGAAUGGAUCCUCGGUUAUAUUUAUUAAACUGUCAUCACCAGGGCAUGCAGAUGAAUUAUUGUGAUAUGUGAGAUCCCUGAUAUUCAUCCUGGGAAUUAGUAAUCAGGUUUGGCACAUUGUCCUCGCUGCAGCCUUGAUCUGCUAAUUAGAGAGGAAACGUAGGUGCAAAUCCGUUCUGAUUUGCUGCCAGGAGCUCUGAAGUCUGGCUGCAGAUGAGGAUGUUGGUCUGGCGUCAGCACAAGCAGCUGGGACGUUACAGAGAGGAAUGAGACAUCUGAAGGAAUGACUUUUAAUAUUUUAAGGCCUGAUUCCCAUUUAAGAUCGCUCUGUUCUUGUUAGCGAGCUAGCGGCUCGCCUUCCUCUGGAAAAACUGGGUCACUUCUGUCUCACGUUCAGAAACGGCUCAUUUAAAAAGCAUCCAGAUUUUCUACAGACCCUGAAGUAAACCAGCUUUAUGCCGUUUGGGUUCAUUAGACAGAAACAUGUUGACAGAAACUUCAGGCUGAGCAAUGAAGUGAAGGUGUCACAUUCAGUUUGUCUGACUCCUCCACUUCCCCACUCCUUCAGGUCAAAGGUCAACAGAUGACCACUCUAUCCAGUGACCACCAGGAGAACCAGAGGACAGCAGUUGUUCAGUCACGGCUCUUCUUCAGGCUACUAUCAUAAUCACUGUAUUGGAGCAGAGGAUUCUGGGAAGCGGAGGGGGUCAGAUGACCAGAAGUGACCCCUGGAAGUGAAUUCCAGGGGUCACCCGGCUCUGUAACCCCAGAGCCGGGUGGAAGCCCACAGAGGGUUCUGUGGACUGGAUCAGAACUGGGACCAGUUGCUGGAGUCCCUUCAGGAGUGAAGUGGGCCCAGAGGGGGCGGACUGAGCGCGCUCAGAGCGGCUCUGCUGCUGGGUUAUUACUGAAAACAGAAACAUGCUCUUCAUGGAUGGUGUUUCAUUUUAUGGAACAGAAAAAAAAGAUUUGGUCAUUUGAAAAUGAAUAGAGGACAUUUGGUGACAGAUCAACAAUAAAACAUCUGGAAUGAUUCAUGCCUUUCUCACAAAUUCAUCUGGAAAGUGGAUUUGUGUUAUGAUGCACUUAUGAUAUUUAUAGUGGAGACUAAUUUAUUCCCUCUUUUGAUUUUUUUUCAGAUAAUAUUUUCCACAAAUCUGAACAGGAAGUGACCGGCGCCAUCUUGGUGGUCCAGCGCAGCGCAAAGCAUCAGAACAAUGGGAGAAAUAUAUGUAAAGAAAAUGUGAGCUGUGGGGAUCGACCCGUAUGAGAGGGAGAACGGAAACAUGUCAGACGGUGUGAACGCGCUGCCUCUGACCUCCUACUGUGACAUAGUUCACUGCUUAGUGAACAGGAAGAGUUGAUCCAGCAUGGAGGAGCUUCACAGCCUGAAAUCCAUACAGUCAAAUUUAAACGGAUUUCUAGACGACGUACCAACUCUUGGUAUCAAAAACGAGGUUCUGCUGACUGGCAGACUGCCCAGGCGUUGCUGUGACUCCUGCGUCCUUCAGGCAGGAAUCUGACAGAAGAGUCCAGAACUGAACGACGUCCUUAAACACCACAGAGCCUCUGUGGGAGUUUCCCUGUGGUGCGUUCAAAGACCUGCCGGCCGCCAGGAGAAGCCAGUGAUUCCGGACUGUGGCUGCAGCGUGAGCAGCUCCUGUGGGCUGAUGGCAGGGAGCUCAGAAGCCAACAGUUGGUUCAGACGUCCUGGACGCUGCAGGAGCAUCACCUGAACUCCCUCUGUCUCAGUGAGUAGAGCUUCCCUCGUUAGCAGACGUUUCAGGCUUGACUUUUCUCCUUUCUGUGUGUUUUGGCUCAGAAAUCAUCUGUAAUGCUCGAAUAGCUGUGAUGUCACCCACCUGCGUUUUGGCUCUGGAGACUCGAAGAAAGAUGGAAUAAUUUUCAACAAUCAUCUAUAAUCUGAUCUGGAUCUCAGGAGCUGAAAUGAUUUAUUUUCCAAAAUAAUUGUUUGCUUUGAGAUAAUUGCAGAAUAAAGUUCUUUCCAGAGUUUUUCUGAGAUAAUAUUUAGAAAGUCUAAUCCGUGUUGGUUUCAGACUUGAACAAGCUUGGAGGAAAUGUGCUGUUUGGUUUAAUUUGUUCUUCCUGUGGUUCGAUUCACCUGUAAGCAGGGAGGAAAUGGAACACGGCGUAACGAUGUGGCGGCCGUCUCAAAACCUCCGGGUCAUUUUCUGCAGAACGCCACCGGCCGAACCCCGGGGGUGAAACGUCUCAGGGCCGUCGGGUUAAUGGAGUGUUUGUGCAACGCUGUCAUAUUCUGUCUGCAGCCUACCAAGAGGCUGACCUUUGACCUGCGAUUCAUCUGGGAGAAAAGAUGUCCCCUGGUGGCAGCGCGGCUUCUUUUCAGAUGCCUCUUUCAUUUUCUCAGCAGAAAGUCGGGAGGGAAACCCAAAUGUUACCUAAUGGAUGUGAGUCAUAAUAACCGUGAUCAGGUGAUCCAGUUCAGCCAAUGUUCUCCUGUGGAAGCUUUUAAGCAAUCACAGCCGGGUCAGAACCGGCUGACGGGUCAGCAAGCCGUCUGUUCAGUCUGAAGCCGCUUUAAAAAGCAGACAGGACGGCUUUGUUCUGUUUAUCUAUCUGAACCUGAAGCCUUUCAUUCCUCCAGCUGAUGGUCAGACAUGGUAACCAGGCAUGAGAACGGUGAUAUUCACACAGAAACCUGAAUAAAUCCAGUAAUAAGCUAAAUGACAAACAGCAGGAAACGGCUCUUCCUGUUGAUUCUAAUAUCAUUUUUAUUACCGUUGUAAUAAAAUUACCUGAUACGUUUAUUUAUUUUCCUUUUCAGAUAAGUUAAGUCCAAAAUUAUUCA